GAUGAACGCUGGCGGCGUGCCUAACACAUGCAAGUCGAGCGGACAGAUGAUGCUUUUGCUCGUCUGACGUUAGGGGCGGGCGGGUGAGUCACACGAGUAUCACCUACCUAUCAGACUGAGAUCACUACGGGAAAGCGGAUCUAAUACCGGAUAAGAUAUUGCACCACGGGGUUCAUUGGUGAAAGACGGUUUUGCUGUCACUAAUAGAGGCUUCCGAGCCGCUUGGGCUAGUUGGUAGGGUAACGGCUUUCCAAGGCGAGGAUGCGUAUCCGAACUGAGAGGGGGAUCGGCCACACUGGAACUGAGACACGGUCCAGACUCCUACGGGAGGCAGCAGUAGGGAAUGUUAGGCAAUGGGCGAAAGCCUGACGCAGCAAGGCCGCGUGUGUGAUGAAGGUCUUCGGAUCGGAAAGCUCUGUUAUUAGUGAAGAACAGCUGUGUACUGAGACAUGGCCGUCUUGACGGUACCUAAUAAGAAAGCACCGGCUAACUACGUG
rnacentral:rRNA from 1 species